UUAAUAUUUCACAAUUUUAUGGUACAGGGUGUUUACUAUUAUUUCUAUCAAAUAUUCAGGAACAAAGCCGAAGCAGCUGCACUAAACCAAAAGAAAAUGGGCAUCAGUGAUGGAUCUGUUGGGAUGCUCUCCUCACUUCUUGUUGCUGCAUUAUCUGGGUGUGUUAACGUGCUCUUGACAAAUCCCAUAUGGGUAGUUGUUACCAGAAUGCAG